rnacentral:rRNA from 1 species
GGACUACCGGGGUAUCUAAUCCCGUUUGCUCCCCUGGCUUUCGUGUCUCAGUGUCAGCAAACCCCCAGCGAGCUGUUUUCACCAUUGGCGUUCCAAAUGAUAUCUACGCAUUUCACCGCUCCACCAUUUGUUCCGCUCGCCCCUAGGUUGCUCAAGACCAGCAGUAUACCAAGCAGUUCCACGGUUAAGCCGUGGGAUUUCACAAGGUACUUACCAGUCCACCUACACACGCUUUAAGCCCAGUGAUUCCGCCUAACGCUUGGCACCUCUGUCUUACCGCGGCUGCUGGCAC